rnacentral:tRNA from 1 species
GAGGAUGCCUAAGUAAUGGUCGGGAUAGCUCAGCUGGUAGAGCAGAG